UACAGGAGGGGGCGAGCGUUGUUCGGAAUUACUGGGCGUAAAGCGUGCGCAGGCGGUUUUGUAAGCCAGAUGUGAAAGCCCCGGGCUUAACCUGGGAAUGGCAACUUAAACUGGCUAGCUGGAGUACAUGAGAGGGUAGUGGAAUUUCCGGUGUAGCGGUGAAAUGCGUAGAUAUCGGAAGGAACACCGGGUGGCGAAGGCGGCUUCCUGGACCGACACUGACGCUGGAGGCGCGAAAGCUAGGGGAGCAAACGGG
rnacentral:rRNA from 1 species